rnacentral:rRNA from 1 species
UUCUGCAUAUCCCAUAAGCUGAGGAAAAGAAACCAACAGGGAUUGCCUCAGUAGCGGCGAGUGAAGCGGCAAAAGCUCAGAUUUGAAAUCGUGUUUCGGCACGAGUUGUAGAUUGCAGGUUGGAGUCUUUGUGGAAGCGUGUGUCUAAGUCCCUUGGAACAGGGUGCCAUUGAGGGUGAGAGCCCCGUGAGACGCGUGCGGAAGCUGUAAGGCCCUUCUGACGAGUCGAGUUGUUUGGGAAUGCAGCUCUAAGUGGGUGGUAAAUUCCAUCUAAGGCUAAAUAUUGGCGAGAGACCGAUAGCGAACAAGUACUGUGAAGGAAAGAUGAAAAGCACUUUGAAAAGAGAGUGAAACAGCACGUGAAAUUGUUGAAAGGGAAGGGUAUUGGGCUCGACAUGGGAUUUGCGCACCGCUGCUCCUUGUGGGCGGCGCUCUGUGCUUUUCCUGGGCCAGCAUCGGUUUUUGCCGCAGGAGAAGGCGUGCUGGAAUGUGGCUCUUCGGAGUGUUAUAGCCAGUGCGAGAUGCUGCGUGCGGGGACCGAGGACUGCGACAUCUGUCUCGGAUGCUGGCACAACGGCGCAAUACCGCCCGUCUUGACCCACGGGACCAA